GUAGCUCUACUGAUAGCCCCCACGAACCCCAUAAGUCUGAAGCAACGACUUUUAACCAAAGACCAAAAUAGUGUUCCAAAUAAAAAUCUCAUCGGCAAAUAUACCGCCAAGACCAAACCAACGACCAAAACAAAAACUUCUUAUUUAAAACGACUGCCCCUUCAACACAGAGCCAUAGAGGCACACACCACAUACUGGCACCAACAUCAAGAUAACAAAAUAAAGAAAUCAAACCACUAGGACCAGACUCAAUUCUAUAAGAUUUCAUCAGUGAAUCCAUCAUUAUUCAAAUCAUAAAAUUAAAAAACCGAAACCCUUCAUCCUGUCGGGUUCUUUGGCUUGGAGGAGGCCUUCUUGGUACCUUUCUCCCCUGCCUUUCAUGCCGCCUUUGCCAAGAGCUUCUUGCGGGGAGAAGUGAAAGCUGGUGCGAGACACUUCUUGGCUGCUCCACCCGUAGCCUAGUCCCCAUUUAGAGCCAUUUUCUUCUUUUUUGCUUCCUCAUCAGCAUCAUCUGCCUGCCCUUCCCCCUCAAUCUAGACCUCCUCGCUAGGCUGCACAGAGCUAUCCCCUUGAUCAGCCAAUUCUUGUUUCUCCACAUUCAAACCCUCUUCCUCCGUGAAAUCCAUGAUUUCACCAUGCUCCCACUC
rnacentral:lncRNA from 1 species